ACGGAAGGCAGCAGUGGGGAAUAUUGGACAAUGGGGGAAACCCUGAUCCAGCGACGCCGCGUGAGUGAAGAAGUAUUUCGGUAUGUAAAGCUCUAUCAGCAGGGAAGAUAAUGACGGUACCUGACUAAGAAGCCCCGGCUAACUACGUGCCAGCAGCCGCGGUAAUACGUAGGGGGCAAGCGUUAUCCGGAUUUACUGGGUGUAAAGGGAGCGUAGACGGUAUGGCAAGUCUGAUGUGAAAACCCGGGGCUCAACCCCGGGACUGCAUUGGAAACUGUCAAACUAGAGUGCAGGAGGGGUAAGUGGAAUUCCUAGUGUAGCGGUGAAAUGCGUAGAUAUUAGGAGGAACACCAGUGGCGAAGGCGGCUUUCUGGACUGACAAUGACGCUGAGGCUCGAAAGCGUGGGGAGCAAACAGGAUUAGAUACCCUGGUA
rnacentral:rRNA from 1 species